UCGGGAAUUUUGGGCAAUGGGCGAAAGCCUGACCCAGCAACGCCGCGUGAAGGAUGAAGUAUUUCGGUAUGUAAACUUCGAAAGAAUGGGAAGAAUAAAUGACGGUACCAUUUAUAAGCUCCGGCUAACUACGUG
rnacentral:rRNA from 1 species